rnacentral:rRNA from 1 species
CCUACGGGAGGCAGCAGUGGGGAAUAUUGGGCAAUGGGCGCAAGCCUGACCCAGCAACGCCGCGUGAAGGAAGAAGGCUUUCGGGUUGUAAACUUCUUUUAAGAGGGAAGAGCAGAAGACGGUACCUCUUGAAUAAGCCACGGCUAACUACGUGCCAGCAGCCGCGGUAAUACGUAGGUGGCAAGCGUUGUCCGGAUUUACUGGGUGUAAAGGGCGUGCAGCCGGGAAGACAAGUCAGAUGUGAAAUCCCGCGGCUCAACCGCGGAACUGCAUUUGAAACUGUUUUUCUUGAGUACCGGAGAGGUCAUCGGAAUUCCUUGUGUAGCGGUGAAAUGCGUAGAUAUAAGGAAGAACACCAGUGGCGAAGGCGGAUGACUGGACGGCAACUGACGGUGAGGCGCGAAAGCGUGGGGAGCAAACAGGAUUAGAUACCCGGGU